rnacentral:rRNA from 1 species
CCUACGGGUGGCAGCAGUGAGGAAUAUUGGACAAUGGGCGUAAGCCUGAUCCAGCCAAGUCGCGUGAGGGAUGAAGGUUCUCUGGAUCGUAAACCUCUUUUAUAAGGGAGUAAAGUGCGGAACGUGUCCCGUUUUGUAUGUACCUUAUGAAUAAGGAUCGGCUAACUCCGUGCCAGUAGCCGCGGUAAUACGGAGGGUCAGAGCGUUAUCCGGAUUUAUUGGGUUUAAAGGGUGCGUAGGCGGCCUUUUAAGUCAGCGGUGAAAGUCUGUGGCUCAACCAUAGAAUUGCCGUUGAAACUGGGAGGCUUGAGUAUGUUUGGGGCGGGCGGAAUUCGUGGUGUAGCGGUGAAAUGCUUAGAUAUCACGCAGAACCCCGGUUGCGAAGGCAGCCUGCCAAGCCAUGACUGACGCUGAUGCACGAAAGCGUGGGGAUCAAACAGGAUUAGAUACCCGUGUAGUC